rnacentral:rRNA from 1 species
GAUGAACGCUGGCGGCGUGCCUAAUACAUGCAAGUCGAGCGAACAGACGAGGAGCUUGCUCCUCUGACGUUAGCGGCGGACGGGUGAGUAACACGUGGAUAACCUACCUAUAAGACUGGGAUAACUUCGGGAAACCGGAGCUAAUACCGGAUAAUAUAUUGAACCGCAUGGUUCAAUAGUGAAAGACGGUUUUGCUGUCACUUAUAGAUGGAUCCGCGCCGCAUUAGCUAGUUGGUAAGGUAACGGCUUACCAAGGCGACGAUGCGUAGCCGACCUGAGAGGGUGAUCGGCCACACUGGAACUGAGACACGGUCCAGACUCCUACGGGAGGCAGCAUUAGGGAAUCUUCCGCAAUGGGCGAAAGCCUGACGGAGCAACGCCGCGUGAGUGAUGAAGGUCUUCGGAUCGUAAAACUCUGUUAUUAGGGAAGAACAAAUGUGUAAGUAACUAUGCACGUCUGGACGGUACCUAAGCAGAAAGCCACGGCUAACUACGU